UGGCGGCGUGCUUAACACAUGCAAGUCGAGCGCGUUUCGAGCAAACGAGAUGGCGCACGGCGCACGGGUGCGUAACACGUGGGUAACCUGCCCUUUGGUGGGGAAUAACUCCGCGAAAGCGGAGCUAAUUCCGCAUAAGAUCCGAUGAAAGCCGAGAGGCCCGAUGGAGGGGCCCGCGCACGAUCAGCUAGUUGGUAGGGUAACGGCCUACCAAGGCUUUGAUCGUUAGCUGGUCUGAGAGGAUGGCCAGCCACACUGGAACUGAGACACGGUCCAGACUCCUACGGGAGGCAGCAGUGGGGAAUCUUGCACAAUGGGCGAAAGCCUGAUGCAGCGACGCCGCGUGGGGGAUGAAGCAUUUCGGUGUGUAAACCCCUUUCGAUCCGGACGAAUGUGACGGUACGGAUAUAAGAAGCCCCGGCUAACUACGUGCCAGCAGCCGCGGUAAGACGUAGGGGGCCAGCGUUGUUCGGAAUUACUGGGUGUAAAGGGUUCGUAGGCGGUGUGGCAAGUUGGGAGUGAAAUCUCUGGGCUUAACCCAGAGGCUGCUUCCAAAACUGCUGUGCUUGAAUGUGGGAAAAGCGCGUGGAAUUGCAGGUGUAGGGUGAAAUGCGUAAAUAUCUGCAGGAACACCCGUGGCGAAAGCGGCGCGCUGGACCACUACUGACGCUGAAGAACGAAAGCUAGGGGAGCAAACAGGAUUAGAUACCCUGGUAGUCCUAGCCCUAAACGAUCAGGACUUGGGGUGCCACCCGUUCGGGUGUCGCCCGGAGUAACGCGUU
rnacentral:rRNA from 1 species